AGGAAACUUAGGUGGCAGACAGGGAGGAAAUGGGACAGGAAAUGAUGGGAGGAACCUUUGGUGAAGAAGGCAAAAUACUACUGAACCUUGAGGUUUUGUGUUCAGCCCCAGGACAGACAUUGAAGAUGGAAGGCUCGGGCUGAUGUCAACAGGUUUCCCAGGGGUCUCCAUCCCCUCCAGCAUUCAUGCAAAGCCAAUUCCAGCUACAGACUGCAGCUUGGGGUUGUCUUCUGCAGCUGUCUACAACAGGGACUUGUCAGGGGUAAAAUGAAAAAUUUUAUCAUGAUUUCUAAUUUUUCUCGAUGUCUCAGUCAUUGAAAGUUUCACAUUCAGGGCCAUUUGGGUGUCAUGAAAACAUCAGGUUUAAAGAGGAAAGAUGAUGGAUCGUGAAUGUUUAUGAGGAGAUGGUAGCAAUUAUAAUGAUGGUAAUGAAGAGUGAAGCGAGAAGAUCAGCCUGUGGGGAUGCUGCUCCUGAGUCUAGGCUGCUGGAGGAAAGUGCUCCAGUGGGCUUGGGCAUUACCAUUGUACCAAGAUGGAUGAAGCUUCUUUUCCAACAGCCCCUCCAGAUUCAUUAUUUUUUUAGAAAUAUGCCUUGUGGAACCAGGUUUGCAAGUUUUACAUUGAGUGAACAGCUAUUUCUUAUGUUAAGUUAUUUUAGCUGAAGAAUAGAGAAUUGUUGAAAUAAAUGGCUAGAGAAUUCGAAUUGUAUUCAUUCUUGACAUUGGAACUGACAAAUAGCUUCAUUCCCCACUGAAAUGGAAAGCUUAUUACUCUGAGAUACAGGCGGGUUUGAGGGAGGGGGGCAUCUGAGUUUUAUUUUACUGUAACUCUUGUAGAUGCUGUGAUACAAUGAAAUAAAAUGCUUUUCUGAAAUCCUUCUGGAAUCCAUCCCUGCCCCAUUCUCCAUAUUUGACUGGGAAUAAAACCAAUUAAAACAGAUUAAUUUAUAGCCAGUAUAAAAUCCACUCUGACAGCUGGUUAUUACGGCCUAAGCAUGGAGUUCUCAGGUAGAGCAGGGCUGGUCGGUGGUGGAGGAUGCAUGAGAACUGAUCAUCCUGAUGGGUUGAGCUGAGGCACCUUCCAACUGAGCCCUGCCCACCAGGGACUGGGCAUCUCCAAAGAGGAACCAUCCAUGCUGGGACGGACUCAUGGGAUCUGGAGGAUGCUUUCACCAGAGCCCUGGAAACUGUUCAUAUGAAAAUUGCAGAUUUCUCCUUGACAUCCUUGGUACUGGAUGCCUCUCAUCCCCCUGCCAGCAUGAUUCACUGCAAGGAGAGAUGCAUUGAGCGUGGCAGCCAAUGAAGCUGUGAACAUAGCAAGGCACAUGGGAGCUGCAGGCUUGUGGGGUUGCUGGGCUGGACUCACCCGACCACUCCUGUUGCAAAGUCAGCCUGAACCUUCUGAUGUUGUCUUCGGAGGAAGUGGGAUGCAGCUGCUCGUCUUCUAUACACCAUCCCUUCCUGCUUGUAUAGUCCUUGAUCUUCCCACCAUCUCACCUUGUCUUCUCUAACCUGUCAGAGGCCUGCGCAUCUAACAGACUUCAUGAAUGAUAACUUGCCAUCCCACGAAGUCUGCUGACUUCAUACUGAUGACUGAUUUAUAAAGUCCUGAUGAAAGUGUCCGCUGAGCACUUGCAUUGUCCAUGU
rnacentral:lncRNA from 1 species